rnacentral:RNase_P_RNA from 13 species
GAAAGAGAGAGGAAGGGAGAAGAGAGGGGGAAGAGAGAAGGAAUGUGGAGCGAGCAAGUGUGAGCCCCAGAGCCAUUUUUUUCUUUUUUCUUCCUCUCUUUUCUUUCUUUCUUUUCUUUUCUUUUCUUUCU